UUCGAUAGUGCACAUUACAUGGAUAACCGUGGUAAUUCUAGAGCUAAUACAUGCGCAAAUACCGGACGCAAGAAUGGUAGCAUUUAUUAGAUUUAACCAUCACAUGGUGAAUCAUAGUAACUUGGCUGACCGCGUGUAAACGUGGUAAAUCGUUCAAGUUUCUGCCCUAUCAGCUUUCGAAGGUAGUGUAUUGGACUACCCUUGCUAUCACGGGUAACGGAGAAUUAGGGUUCGAUUCCGGAGAGGGAGCCUGAGAAACGGCUACCACAUCUAAGGAAGGCAGCAGGCGCGUAAAUUACCCAAUCCCGAUUCGGGGAGGUAGUGACAAGAAAUAACAACCUGGGCGGUUUUCCGUUCCGGGAUUGCAAUGAGAUAAGUCCAAAUCCGUAAACGAUUAACAAUUGGAGGGCAAGUCUGGUGCCAGCAGCCGCGGUAAUUCCAGCUCCAAUAGCGUAUACUUAAGUUGUUGCAGUUAAAAAGCUCGUAGUUGAAAUUCGAGUCUAUUGCUGUCUGGCUUCAGUCAGGCUGCUAAUAGGCUCUCCGUCUACAACCCCUUUCGAGCUCUCACGGGUUUCACUGGGUGAGUAGGCAAUUUACCUUGAAAAAAUUAGAGUGUUCAAAGCAGGCCUUGCUGGAAUACAUUAGCAUGGAAUAAUGGAAUAGGAUUUUUGCCCUUUGUUGGUUUUAGGACAGAAAUAAUGAUUAAUAGGGACAGUGGGUGGUAUUAGUAUUUAAUUGUCAGAGGUGAAAUUCUUGGAUUUAUUAAAGACUAACUUAUGCGAAAGCAUUUACCAAUGAUGUUUUCAUUAAUCAAGAACGAAAGUUAGGGGAUCAAAGACGAUCAGAUACCGUCGUAGUCUUAACUAUAAACUAUACCGACUCGAGAUCGGAAGGGUUAAUAUUUUGGCCCUUUCGGCAUCGUAAGAGAAAUCAAAGUCUUUGGGUUCUGGGGGGAGUAUGGUCGCAAGGCUGAAACUUAAAGGAAUUGACGGAAGGGCACCACCAGGAGUGGAGCCUGCGGCUUAAUUUGACUCAACACGGGGAAACUUACCAGGUCAAAACAU
rnacentral:rRNA from 1 species